GAUGAACGCUGGCGGCGUGCCUAAUACAUGCAAGUCGAGCGAACAGAUGAGGAGCUUGCUCCUCUGACGUUAGCGGCGGACGGGUGAGUAACACGUGGAUAACCUACCUAUAAGACUGGGAUAAUUUCGGGAAACCGGAGCUAAUCCCGGAUAAUAUAUUGCACCGCAUGGUUCAUUAGAAAAAUACGGUUUUGGUGUCACUUAUAGCUGGUUCUGCGCCGGAUGAGCUAGUUGGUAAGGUAACGGAUUACCAAGGCAAGGAUGCGUAGCCGACCUGAGGGGAUGGUCGGCCACACUGGAACGGAGACACGGUACAGAGUGCUACGGGAGGCGGCAGUAGGGAAACUUCAGCAAUGGGCGAAAGACAGACGGAACAACGCCGCGUGAGUGAUGAAGGUCUUCGGAUCGUAAAACUCUGUUAUUAGGGAAGAACAAAUGUGUAAGUAACUAUGCACGUCUUGACGGUACCUAAUCAGAAAGCCACGGCUAACUACGUG
rnacentral:rRNA from 1 species